AGGAGGAGGAGGAGGAGGAGGAGGAGGAGGAGGCCGAAGGCCGCUACCAGCCCGGCUCCAUCUGCCGCUACUGCGCCUUCUGCCAGCACUGCGCUGCCUGCGGGAGCUGCCCCUGCACCGAGGACCCCCCCGGCCCCCACUGCCGCCACUGCCAGGCCUGCCCCUUCUGCUACCUCUGCCCCCUGCUCUGCGAGACCGCCUGCCAG